rnacentral:sRNA from 1 species
GGGGUAUUAUUUAUUACGCGUCCGUUCCUUUCAAUAGUAACACUCUUCUUACAGAAUAUUGAACAGAGUUGAUGUCAUAAACAAUGUCAUUUGAUUUCUAAUCGGUGGAAACUGGCAUGGUUUGCUUCAAACCAAACCAUAUUCCACAACACUCGAGAUCUAUGUAGAAGGAAAGGAGAAAGAAAAUUCAGUAUCCAAACAAAUCCUCAGUCAGUAUUUUAUAAUUCAGAAGGAACUACACAUUCAUACUUUUGUAAAUCAGCACGCCUCAAGCUCACUGCAGCUUAACGUGUAGUGUCUCAGGCAUUGGAGCCAUUGUAGAGUCAUAAACAAGGUGACACCAGCUCCACUCCAACUCAAGACAGAAGGGGGAAAAGUGGGUGGGCUAGUUGGGGAGGCAAAAGAACCUAAAAUAACAACAAUGCUCUUGACUGUAGAGUGUCAAUCUCCUAAAAAUGACUGUUGCCUCGCAAAGCUGACGAAUCAUCAAAAUUUGAGGAAAGGAUAUCUCAGAACAUGGCGUAUUCAACCAUCUUCUAGUACAAACAUGAUUGAACUCCCACCUCAUCAAUCCUAAAACCCCUAUCAGCAUUAACUGCUUUUCCACAAAACCAUCAACAUCUCUGAGAACUUGAGCUAAAUUUUCUCAUGAGUUCUAUGUUUUCUGCAAUUGUUGACCCAGGUGUUCCAACAAAACCUAGAGAUGCGCAGCUGCAUACAGUCUGCUCAACAUAAAGAAGUAAAUCUGGCAAUCUCUGACUGGAACAAUAUUUUUUACCAAUUGUACUAUAUGAAUUUGAUAGGAACCUCUGCCCAUGACCAGCUGUCAUGAGCUUUAUAGCUGCUCGCUUAAUCAGCUUAUCAUUCGCUUUCAAAAAGUAUAACUUAUACUUGUGAUUCUCACUAACUAAAUCACCUAAAUAAGUAUUAGUCCAAUUAUCUCCAGGAAGAUCAGUCAUUAUAAAAAUAUGAAUUGGUAGAGGGCCUUCCUUCCUUAAAGAUUCUAGUUUUUGCCUUAAUCCUUGAAAUGUAGCCUUUUGAUGAUUCUUAAACUGCCCAUCCAACAAUCUAAGUUGUGCGCAAAGAAAUGGAGCCCUUAUGCUUUGUUUAGAAAACUCCUUUCCAGCUAUCAAAAUUUCUGGGACAAAGGAAAGAAGUUUAGUCUUCUCCUUCAGAGAUAGAAAUCUCUGAUUCUGAUUAGACUCACGGAUAUCCACAUAUAGUUCAGAACCUUUGUAUGUGGCAGAGAAAAGGGUUCCAAAUGCCAGCAGUGAGGCUGAUUCAGCUUCAGAACCAGGUCCUAGAGUCUUAAAUACAUCCUUCCGUCUUCUAACAUAUGAUAUUUUCUUUUUCUGCUUCAGUUUUUCAUCGGGUUGAAAUGAAUCUAACAUACCGUCUCCAUGCCCAUCUUCAUUGUAAGUCCAUACUGUAGUUCUGCAAUCCUCAUUGACAGCAUAUAUACACUUUUCAAUACUACCAUGGAGCCCAGCUAGCAGAGAUCCACAUUGGUUAAGGCUUUUAGAAACAGAGGAAUGCAACUUUGUAUCUGUUAUGCAAGCCAAAUCUAAGCUGAUGCCACACCAUAUCGACACAAAAUCCCUAAGAUCAAUCACUCGAACAAGAGAGGAAGAAACUAAUGAUGUGAUGUCAACGAUUUCAGCAAUGGAUAUAUA